GCCUCUGUGGUGUAGUGGUAGAGCAUGUGUCCUCGGUAUGGAUGAGACGAGGUUCGAUUCUCGACUGAGGCC